UUCAGAUCUUUAUAUCGGGCGUUAAAGGCUUCUUUGCAGUCAACGCCACAUAUGAGGAACUUAUGAAACUUUCUUCACUGAGCCAGAUGAACUGGUAUGGAUUGGACAAUCCUCUAGUCAAGAUGAUAUUGACCCGAAGUUAAUAUGCUGUCAGCGUACAACGCCAGCAAUGAAAAUUCAACUAUAACUAAAUAUGAACAGGCCAUGCAUCUCAACGGUACCGCUCACCAAGGAGAAGUUCUUGUACUCACCAAGACUCUAGCCGGAGAUACCUUCGAUUUUUUAGAUGAAUCAAAAUUUGUGAACAAAACAAAUGACAUCGUUGACCAGAAACUCGUUCAAAUAGGAUUCAUAUUUCUCUACUCCGUUAUAUUUAUCUUAGGAGUUUUCGGAAACGUUCUAGUAUGCUAUGUGGUCUUCAGAAAUAGGGCUAUGCAAACAGUCACCAAUCUCUUCAUAACGAACCUGGCAUUAUCAGAUAUCCUAAGUCUUCUUGGAGCGCCUUUGACGCCACUGUACACUUUCUUAGGAAAAUGGAUAUUUGGAAGAGUUCUCUGUCAUCUCAUGCCAUACGCUCAAGGAACAAGCAUCUAUAUAUCCACUUUAACAUUAACUUCGAUAGCAAUAGAUAGAUUUUUUGUUAUAAUUUAUCCAUUUCAUCCCCGAAUGAAACUAAACACUUGUGUGUUUAUCAUCACAUUCAUAUGGGUCUUUUCAUUGAUAGCGACAUGCCCAUACGGACUGUUCAUGGGUCUAAUGAUGCCAAACGACUCCCAGAUAUAUUGCGAAGAGACGUGGCCAUCAGAUAAAACUAGGAAAAUUUUUGGUGUCUUCACGUUUGUCCUCCAAUUUCUUGUUCCAUUUUUAGUAAUAGCCAUAUGUUACACUUGUGUUAGUAUAAGAUUGAAUGACCGUGCACGGUCAAAACCUGGAGCUAAGACUACCAGAAGAGAAGAAGCUGAUAGGGAUAGGAAGAAAAGAACAAAUAGAAUGCUAAUAUCCAUGGUGGCUAUUUUCGGUAUCUCUUGGCUUCCUCUAAACUUGAUCAAUAUUCUUAAUGAUUUCAACGCUUCAAUGACAGACGACAAAUACUUCUUAAUAUCGUUCGUCUUCGCUCAUUCAAUGGCGAUGGCGUCAACGUGUUACAAUCCAUUUUUGUAUGCAUGGUUGAAUGAGAACUUUAGGAAAGAAUUUAAGCAAGUUCUUCCUUUUUUCGAGUCAACGGGAGGAGUCAGGAACAGUUACCACUCAGGGAGGAUGCCGACGCAUAAAUCAGAAAAAAUAUGCAAUGGUAAUGACACCAUCCAGGAAACUCUACUUGCCUCUUCCUUCAACCGGGGACCGUCGCUGAAAAAGAACAAUCUAGAAGGAAAUGGGAGAAAAGACAAUGAUGUGCAGGUUGAAAACAUUUUAUUGGAGGACAAAACAAUCUCGGCGACUUUUCAUAUGAAGAGUGAACAUUUGAAUUUACAGUUGAUUGAUGAAGAGUCGCAAUUCACUGAUUUCAAGGAGAAAACCCCUACAAUUUAACUAUAUACCCUCUAGACGCUACAACGAUGAACAAGAAUCGACAGCAGUUCAAACAAAUCGUGUAUCUUUAAAAUUAUUGAAAUCAUUACGAAAUUUUGCGGCACAAUUUUUUCUUAUCUGCUUCUUGUGAUGAGUUUGAAAAUCGUAUAUUAAAUUUAAUAUGUAAAUGCCUCAUUGACAAUUUAAGCCGAUUUAUUGUAAGCUUGUAAUAGAUCAAUAUAUGUGAAUAAAUGAAGUAGGAACGCUUUUUAAGUGUUCCUACUUCAUUUAUUCUGGUAUAUGUGUUUAACAGAAUAAAUGAGGAACUUCG